UUCAGCGUGACAUAGUGGUUUGGGCAUUAGACUGUGACUCUGGAGACCGGGUUCGAUUCCCCGCUCGGCCA